rnacentral:rRNA from 1 species
AGUUUGAUCAUGGCUCAGGAUGAACGCUAGCGUCAGGCCUAAUACAUGCAAGACGAACGGUAAGUUGAGUAGCAAUACUUAGCCAAGAGUGUCGUACGGGUGCGUAACACGUAUGCAACCUACCCUAUACAGGAGGAUAGCCUAGGGAAACCUGGAUUAACCCUUCAUAGUAUUAUUGGAUGGCAUCAUUUGAUAAUUAAAACUGAGGUGGUAUAGGAUGGGCAUGCGUCUGAUUAGUUAGUUGGCGGGGUAAUGGCCCACCAAGACGAUGAUCAGUAGGGGGUUCUGAGAGGAAGAUCCCCCACACUGGCACUGAGAUACGGGCCAGACUCCUACGGGAGGCAGCAGUAGGGAAUAUUGGUCAAUGGAUGCAAGUCUGAACCAGCCAUGCCGCGUGCAGGAAGAAGGCCUUCUGGGUUGUAAACUGCUUUUGCCAGGGGAUAAAAUUUCCAUGCGUGGAAAACUGAAGGUACCUGGUGAAUAAGCCACGGCUAACUACGUG